CCUACGGGGGGCUGCAGUUGUCCCUCUUUUACAAUUGUUUUAACCCUGAUCCAGCCAUGCCGCGUGUUUGAAGAAGGCCCUCGGGUUUUAAAGCACUUUCAGUGAGGAAGAACGCCUGGUGGUUAAUACCCAUCAGGAAAGACAUCACUCACAGAAGAAGCACCUGCUAACUCCGUGCCAGCAGCCGCGGUAAUACGGAGGGUGCGAGCGUUAAUCGGAAUUACUGGGCGUAAAGCGCGCGUAGGUGGCUUGAUAAGCCGGUUGUGAAAGCCCCGGGCUCAACCUGGGAACGGCAUCCGGAACUGUCAAGCUAGAGUGCAGGAGAGGAAGGUAGAAUUCCCGGUGUAGCGGUGAAAUGCGGAGAGAUCGGGAGGAAUACCAGUGGCGAAGGCGGCCUUCUGGACUGACACUGACACUGAGGUGCGAAAGCGUGGGUAGCAAACAGGAUUAGAUACCCGUGUAGUC
rnacentral:rRNA from 1 species